rnacentral:rRNA from 1 species
CUCCCAAACCCUAUGUGAACUUACCACACCGUUGCUUCGGCGCGCGCUCGCCGCCGCCGAGGACGCUAAACUCUGUUUUGUAUAAGCAUCUCUGAGUGGCCGAAAGGCAAAAAACAAAUGAAUCAAAACUUUCAACAACGGAUCUCUUGGUUCUGGCAUCGAUGAAGAACGCAGCGAAAUGCGAUAAGUAAUGUGAAUUGCAGAAUUCAGUGAAUCAUCGAAUCUUUGAACGCACAUUGCGCCCGCCAGCAUUCUGGCGGGCAUGCCUGUUCGAGCGUCAUUUCAACCCUCGAGCCCGACUUCCUUGCGGAGGACGGCUCGGCGUUGGGGGACGGCACACUCCCCCCGGCCUGGCCGGGGACGCCGCCCCCGAAAUCUAGUGGCGGCCCUCCGAGGCGACCUCUGCGUAGUAACUCAACCUCGCAAAGGGAAGCUCAGAGCGGCCACGCCGUUAAACCCCAACUUUUUCAGGUUGACCUCGAAUCAGGUAGGACUACCCGC